CUGCAGCUUAAUCCACUGUAGCUUGGUCCUACCCACAGGCUCUGGUGCGCAGUGCAGCUGCCAUUGGGAAUGGCAGCCCCUUGGGUUUUCCUUCUUUCUUUGCCUUGGGUUUAUGGAGACUCCUGGAUCUCUCAGGAUCAGCUGUCCUUUACCAGGAGGCCAAACAAGACGGUGCACAUAAGUUGCAAGCUCUCUGGAGUCCCCCUUCAGAACACCAUUGUGCACUGGUACCAACUGAAAGAAGGGGAGCCCCUGAAACGAAUCUUCUAUGGCUCAUCCAAAACUUACAAGCAAGACAAACCUCACUCCCGCCUGGAAACAGAUGAGAAGAAUGACGGUACCUUUUACCUGAUAAUCAACAAUGUUAUCACAUCAGAUGAAGCCACGUACUACUGUGCCUGCUGGGAUCUCACAGUGGCUCAGCGUCUGAAGGAACCUGUAAGAAAACCUUCCUAG